rnacentral:rRNA from 1 species
GGAAGUAAAAGUCGUAACAAGGUUUCCGUAGGUGAACCUGCGGAAGGAUCAUUAAAUUCAGUAGCUUGCUACUGUUAGGGGGGUCUAUUAGUCUGUAUAGUAUCACUACUGAUGAGCAGCACGACCCUCUGUCUAUACCCUUGUCUUUUGCGCACUCAUGUUUCCUCGGCGGCUUUAUACCCGCCGGCUGGAUCAAUCUAUAACCUUUUUAAUUUUCAAUCAGCGUCUGAAAAACCUAAUAAUUACAACUUUCAACAACGGAUCUCUUGGUUCUGGCAUCGAUGAAGAACGCAGCGAAAUGCGAUAAGUAGUGUGAAUUGCAGAAUUCAGUGAAUCAUCGAAUCUUUGAACGCACAUUGCGCCCCUUGGUAUUCCAUGGGGCAUGCCUGUUCGAGCGUCAUUUGUACCCUCAAGCUCUGCUUGGUGUUGGGUGUUUGUCCACUAUCGUGGACUCGCCUUAAAGUCAUUGGCAGCCAGUGUUUUGGUAUUGAAGCGCAGCACAUUUUGCGCCUCUAGCCUAGAACACUAGCGUCCAGUAAGCCUUUUUCCACUUUUGACCUCGGAUCAGGUAGGGAUACCCGCUGAACUUAAGCAUAUCA